GAGUUUGAUCAUGGCUCAGGAUGAACGUUGGCGGUGUGCCUAAUACAUGCAAGUCGAACGGAGUUAAUAGCAAUAUUGGCUCAGUGGCGAACGGGUGAGUAACGCGUUGGUGAUCUGCCUUGAAGUGUGGAAUAACGUUUCGAAAGGAACGCUAAUACCGCAUGUGCUCUCGAUUUUCAGAAAGUUGAGAGUAAAGGAUUUAUUCGCUUCAAGAGGAGCCUGCGUCCCAUCAGCUGGUUGGUAGGGUAACGGCCUACCAAGGCUAUGACGGGUAGGGGACCUGAGAGGGUGGCCCCCCACAAUGGAACUGAAACACGGUCCAUACACCUACGGGUGGCAGCAGUAGGGAAUAUUAGAAAUGGACGAAAGUCUGAUCUAGCAACACCGCGUGUGCGAAGAAGGCCUUCGGGUCGUAAAGCACUUUUUGGAAGGAAUAGGAAGGAAUGUACUUCCAGAAUAAGUCUCGGCUAACUACGUGCCAGCAGCCGCGGUAACACGUAGGAGGCAAACGUUAUCCGGAUUUACUGGGCGUAAAGCGCGUGUAGGUGGUACUGUAAGUAGGGCGUGAAAGCUCCUGGCUCAACUGGGAGAGGCCGUUCUAAACUACAGAACUAGAGGAUGGUAGAGGGAGGUGGAAUUCCAGGUGUAGCGGUGGAAUGCGCAGAUAUCUGGAGGAACACCGGUGGCGAAGGCAGCCUCCUGGACCAUUCCUGACACUCAGACGCGAAAGCUAGGGUAGCAAACGGGAUUAGAGACCCCGGUAGUCCUAGCCCUAAACGAUGUAGACUAGGCGUCGGAAGCUUAAUCGCUUUCGGUGUCCAAGCUAACGCGAUAAGUCUACCGCCUGGGGACUACGGCCGCAAGGUUAAGACUCAAAGGAAUUGACGGGUCCCCGCACAGCAGCGA
rnacentral:rRNA from 1 species